GGGGAUGCUAGGCAUCGAUAAUAAAAUUUUCUUAAAAACAUUCAGAAGUGCUCAUCAGGGGCGCCACUUUAAACCGCGCCUGUAAACAAAAUAAGCGUCAAAAACUUAUUAAGCAAAGCGACAUUUUCUUGGAAAAUGCCGGCCUUUGCAACUGUUGCCGCUUAAUAGCCGCAACCAUCCGCCCGGCUUAGCCUAAGGGUCGGAUCACGGGUGUAAUAUUUUAGGCUCGAAUAGCCGUGGGGGCUGUUGUCAGGUGCUCUUUCGAGCAUAAAUUUUUAGAUUUUGAGGAAAUUUUUAGAAAAAUUUUUGAGGCAAUAUAAUAAUAUUGUCGAAAAUAUUUUUCUAAAAAUUUACCGAAAUAUGGAAAUUUAGGACGAAUAUGGCACCUGACAACAGCCCCUAGCUUUUGCCGGUUAUUUUAAAAAAUUAAAGCUGGCUAACGCCGAUUUUGUUAGGUUUUUACGGUGUUAGUGAGAAAAUAAAUCUGAAUAAUCUGUAAAUAUGUUUUAAGAAAUUUAUUAGACAGGGGUUCAAUUCCCCUCAUCUCCACAA
rnacentral:tmRNA from 1 species